GACAGUUAGAUCUUGGAACUGAGUCCAGCAGCACUGAGGUCAGAGAGAUGGCUAAAGCUAAAAGCAAACUGGAUGCUGUUCAGGAGGUUCUCCUUUGUCAUUUUUAUCUCCAAAUAGAAGACCUCUGUUUUCCCAGAAGAUUAAAUAGUAGAAAAGAAGUAGCCCAAGGACAUACCAUGCCUUUUACAGAUAUUUAUAGGACAAUUUCCCUCCUGAGAGUGCCCAAGCAUGGGGGAUGGUGAGGAAGAUGACUGAAGGAGAAAGCAGGAAAAGGGGGUGUCUGCAUGUAUGAGGAUUGGAAGCCCUGGACAACUUUCAGGAAGACAGUUCUGGUCUGUAGCAAUUAACACAUGGUCAUCCUCAGAAAAAGGUCCUCUCAAUUAUUUCCCAGAGAUACCCAUAACUUAAAAUGCAGGAACCAAGAGAUUUGAGCCUAGACAUUUGGAUGAAAAGCGAUUUCCACCUGGAGAAAGUCACUGCCCUUCUGUGCAGAGGUAGGUGCCCUGAUACUUGCCUGACAGCUGGAAAGCGUGGCUCAGAAGAGGUAGGUGGGAGAAGAGGCCACAUAGUAUCUCCCUGGGCCUCCUGGUGAAAAACUUGUGUGUGAUUUUUCAGGCCUGACCACAAACUUGGGGAAAGCUGACCCCUACCCCAGACUUGGGGCACAGCCCAUGCGUGGCAGUCUCUGGAGGGAGCUCUCAAGGUCUCAGGUCUCUCUGGCUGGUCGUAGUCAUCACAUAUUUGCAUUCCUAGCCCCUGAGCCUUCAUUCCUGGGUUUAUCAGAAGCCUUGGGGAGAGGUGUUCUUUAGGCGCCUCUGCUGAGGCCUUCUUUGGGUGGGGCAGGGAAGGGAGAGAAAUCUUGAAGCCGCUUUUCCCCACAAUGACUCAGAAUCUAGUACUUCCACUCCUAGCCUUCCCCCUCCCUUGCUCUCGGCCCCAGAGUCCAUAAAACUUCCAGAGCCUUUUGUUCAGGGCUCUGUCAGCAGUGAGACCACCCCAACCCGACAUUCCUGCUGAUCUACUUGACCCUGGGCCCCUGUGUGUUCCAUGGGGGAAAUGGAACAGGGAGAGUCCACGCUUUCUCUGGUUUCAGAUACUUGCUUAUACCAUUGCAGGACAUGACUGAAAGCUUGACUCUUUUGUUUUGGGCUUGUUGCCUUAAUUGACUAUUGUGACACCUGGCAGCUCAGCGCUCCCUCUCCCAGUUCAACUGAGCUCCUGACAGAGGGACUCCACCUUCAACUUGCCAGGGACAGGCACUCAAAGGACGGGCUUCAUUUCUGUUGAAGGCUCUGGCUUCUCCUAAUAUGUUUCUAAUUCAUUUCUAGAUUCAGAUCUCUCUCUACCUCUCCAUAUCACACAUUCACAAACAAUAACUGCCUGAGGACCAGGAGAAGCACAGGGCCUGCCUCGUUAUUCCUCCCCUGCAUGCUGACUCUUCCACUGGGGCUGGGCAGAGUCAGCACAUGCAGGAGGGGAAUCAUGAGCCAGGCCCUGGCCAGAUCCAGAUUUCUAGACAUGAGAACUACCCAAACCCCAGAGACCCAGUUCUUCCAUCUACUUUACUGAGGAGGAACCAGAGAGUCUGAAAAGUAAGUGACUUGGCCAAGGUCACCCAACUGGAACCCAGGGCCUAACCUUUGGGUUCAAACUCUGAUCAUGACCAGACUGCCUCCUUGAAUCUUCUUUCUACUUUCCCGGUACAGUUUCUGUGCAGAGCUGAGUCCUUGGGUGCCCAGGACUACACUAAGCCCUCUCAAGUCAGUACUUUCUAGGAGGCUGUAGCCUAACUGGAGAGAGAGGUGAGACCAGGGGUUCUCAGACUUGAGCAGAUGUUAGAAUCAGCUGGUGGGCUAGUUAAAACACAGAUCUGCUGGCCCCACCCCAGGUUGCUGAUUCAGUAGGCCUGGGAUGGGGUCUGAGAAUUUGUACUUCUAACAAGUUUCCAAGUAUGGCUGAUAAGAACCACUGGACUUAACCAUAAACAACCAAAAGUAACAGAGGCAGUGAAUGGAAACCGAGCAAAGGCAGGUAGAGAAAGGAGAGAAAUGAGGGUGACAUUGUUUCUAAGGGCAGGAAAUGAACUCCAGGGGCUGGUCCUUGGGAGGUCCUUCUCUUCCCUCUACCUUCAUCUACCCUGACUUCGGGUGUAUCUAGAAGUUUCACAGUAGCAUAUAAAUUCCCCCUCUCUGCUGGAGGGCUCUGGCCAACAGGUGAAGCCAAAACCAUCACCUGUAGGAGGUUACUUAGAGCUGGCUCCUGUCCCAACACCCUCCUCUCGGCUUCCCCGUUCACAUCGCUGCAGCCGGCACAGCUGCCUGCCUCCCAUGGAGCCUGGGGGCACCUGUCCUAAAGGCUCAAGGAUGAAGAGUCGCGGAGGGUGGUUGUGGCCAUCUCACCCACCUCUCCCUUGAUUCCUCCAUGUACUCACACAAGCCCUGGAAGGCCAAGGACACUGACACUCAGAAAGCUAAGGGAGUGGGUACAUUACAAAAGGAUUGGGAGAGGGGGAGUGGUAAAAACUCCACAGCUCACAUUCAUUGACUCAGCUCAUCUUUCAAGGCCCCAGUUCUCCUGAGUCAUCAGUGAGCAUGGCCUUGCUUUCAUAGUCACUAAGGCUGAAUGUGGGUCAUUGAGAUCUAAACUGGUGUUUAAAUGUAACCGCACAGAGGUGAGUCAGACACACACAAGGAGAAAAAGAGCAAAAGAGAGAGAGAAGAAAGAAGGAGACUUAGCUCUCUCUUAAGUGGGGGUGAAAAUCCAGGAGCGAAUCUGAAAUGAUCCACCUCUCCAAAUCCGUCCACUGUUUAAUUGGCUCCAUGUAGCUAUAGGGAAAUUGAGGCAUAACUGCUGUGUCCACUAGCCCAAAGCUGUUCCAGGGACAGCAGCAACCUCAGGAGGAGGCCAGAGAUUGGCCAAUGGAAAGGCAGAAAGCAGGGACUCUCCACCCAGGUGGAGGCACCACAGGGCCCGUGGAGGGAAUGGACAGCUGGCAUUACGGUCCCCCUACCUUUUCCCAAGACUCUUCCAGCUGACCUACUAAGGCUGCCCCUUGACCUUGAGUACAAAUGGCACUCAUGCCCAAACAGCCGCUUGACCAGAGCCAACCGACAACCUCCUGUGAGUUUCUCAGCCCCAGGCUGGAUCUGCAGGUAAGAGACAGACAUUAUGUUGAGGCAAAUGUAACCCAUGCCAAGCAGUGUGUAGAGAUUUCUACCUAGCUUUAUUGUUGUGAACUCCAGACAAGAGACUUAGAAACCAUGUAUGAUUUUCUACAUCAAAAGCCUGAGUCUGAGGCUUAGGGGUCUCUCAUCCCUUUUCCAACUCCCUUUGUGUGUUGCGGGGUGGGGGGUGGGGCGGAAUGGAGAGUCUGCCAUGGAGUCCCCACCUCUGUCCCUUCCAGAAGAGCCUGUAUAUGGCUAGUGGGCAUUUCCCUCCCUGGAGAGGAGGUGGGGGAGGCCCUUCAUGUGCUUCCUGGAGCCACAAGGAAAGAGGAGGCUGCUGAUUCACCAGCAGCUGCUUCCUGGAAUGGCAGUUCCGGGCUGGCAGGCAAACAGUAUUUUUCCAAGGUGAUCUAGGGCUGUUACAACAUUCCCGCUCUGCCCCCAUCAGACCUUCCUGUAAGUCAAACCAGAAAGUUACCCAGACCACGCAUUCCUGAGCAGUCAAGCACAAGAUUCCAGACACAGUGUUUCCAACAUGUCUCGCUAUCUCUCCUGGGACCUGGGAUCCAGUCAUCCCCACAGCCCCUGUGCUUCCUCAGCCAAGGCCAUGCAUUUGUCGCACUGGCCAUGGAGUCACAUGGAAGCCACUGUGUGGCUCCAAGUCAGCUGGGAGGGGAAGGCCUGCCCUGAUUCCCCUAAUGGUCUGCUGAGAAAGAGCAGAGCCCUGAGCUAGCUUUGUCCCUGCGUUUCACAAAGCCACUUUCUCUGGUCCUGCCCAGCUUUCUGAGACAGAAAGCUACCAUGUCCCAGACUGAAUCAGUCUCACUUUUUUUUUUUUUUUCCCCAGAAAUAAGGCACAGGUUUGGAAGUGCCUCUGUUUGACCCUGGUGUUUGGUUCUCUCCCUCACAUACAGGGAACAUGAAGGAGAACCCACCUCUGCUGCUUUUGAAGUGCAGUGGCUUUCACUUGGAAUGGACAUCUUUACGGGUGGCACUGGGGGCUGUGCAGAGAGGACCAGGGAGAAAUUCCAGACUUCUCAGGUUCUGCCUCUGAGACAGACAGUGGUGGGAAACACAAACAAUAAAAAUCCUUGGUUCCACUUUCCUCAUCCCUUCCGGGCAAAUGGAAUCAAAUGAGGGUGAGGGUGGCUGGGGAAUAAAGCAGGGUGAGUGAAGAGAUGGGGGACUGCUCUUAGAAGCAGUGUCUGAACUCCACCCCCUCCAGGAUGAACUGGAAAGUGCUUCUUCUCCUCCCUCCCUUGACUGAUGGCUAUGGGAACUUUAGAUGGGGAAAUACGGAUAUACUGAUCUCUCAACCAAAUGUAAUUUGUAUUAAGAAUUAAGAGUUCACAAGUUAUUCUCUGUCUCUCUCUCUUUUUUUUUUUUUAAAGAAACAGCCUUGCCCUGUCACCCAGGCUGGAGUGCUGUGGUGCUAUCAUAGCUCACUGCAGCCUCAAAAUCCUGGGCUUAAGUGAUUCUCCCACCUCAGCCUCCUGAGCAGCUAGUACUACAGGCACACACUACCAUAACUGACCAAUUUUUCUGUUUUCUGAAGAGAUGAGGUUUCGCUCUGUUGACUAGACUGAUGUCAAAUUCUUGGCCUAACGUGAUUUUCUCCCUGGGCCUCCCAAAGUGCUGAGAUUAGGAGUGUGAGCCAAUGCACCCAGCCAACUUAUCCUUUUUUAUCUUCAUCACAAUCUUAUGAGGUGGGUAUCGUUAUUAGUAUUGUCAUUUAAUAGAGGAAGAGAACAAGGAUUGGGAGCGUUUAACAGCCGGCCCAGGAUGAAUGCGUCAAGUUUCAAAUCCAUGUCUCCUGAUUCCAAGUCCAUAUUUCUCACAGUCCACGUUAUAUACUCAGCAGACGCUGUUGACAGGCUCUCUGAAUCCAGGAGGCAGCUCUGAGCCUCAGGAAGGCUUAACUCAGUGCUGUAACAGGAGCUUCAGAACUGACAGGGCAAACAGUCCUCUUCAGUUAAGUAUCACUGGCCAUGUCUUACCCUCUCAGAUAAGUUGCAAAUGCUUUUUUAACUCUCUCCCUCCCACCUACUAUUAUAGAACCAUUUCUCAAAGCUUAAUUCAAGACUUUAUUUCUGUUUUCCAAUAGUUAUACACCUUAUCUCUAAGAAUAACCAUUUUUAAUGCCUUUGAUUUUUCCCACUGAGCUCUUUGCCCCACGAUUGUCCAGUAGCUGGGAAUGGAGAGUGAGUCUGCACUUUUGAUUACCUGAUAAACAGCGAUCCUUCCUCCUCCCCGAUCCCACACUCCCGGAACCCUGACUUGGUUCUCUAUCCUUGUCCUUCAGGAGAGAAUGAACCUCUCUCCAGCCCCCGGGGGCUAAGGUUUUGUCCGAGACUUAGACUCUCAGCCAUUGGUUCGGUAUUCUGACUGCGCAUUGGAACCAUCUAGGGGGCGUUAAAAAUCCCACUAACGCCAACAGGGGCUCCAGGGCUCCCUCAGGAGCUGUGGCUUGGCUGUCAUUUUUCCCUUGCCAAGUGAUUGGUGUUAGGGAUGGUCAUGUGACGCUAAACUGGCCAAUGGGGUACGAGGAUGCGAGGCUGCGAAGCUUCUGGGAAUGUUUUCCACAGCUAAAAGCAAAAAAGCUGCAAUUCAGGGGUGUUUUGUUUUUCUCCCUGGAAGUUGUUCUCUAUGUGCCCCAAAGGAAGGAGCUUAAUUUAGUUAGCAAUCUGUGGACAUUAUCGCAUUUGAUCCUCACACUACCCUUUGAGGUAGUUAAUAUUUUGGUUUUAGUUAUUAAUUUACAGACAAGGAAACUAAGGUUUCUUAAUUUUACAGACAAGGAAACUAAGGUUCACGGAAGUUUCAGUAUCUCCACACCCCCUUCAAUGACAACAGCUGAGCAGAGUCAGGGUGACCCUGGUCCUGCCUGGUUCCAAAGACCAUGAUUUUCUCACUAUUUCCCUAUUUGCAAGGUUGUGCUGGAAAGCUGUCUAAAUAAUAAAACUAAUAAAAGUCCUGGCCGGAUGCAGUGGCUCAUGCCUGUAAUCCCAGCACUUUGGGAGGCCCAGUACCAUUGUGUCUUGAAUCCAGCUUGGCCAUAAGGAAAUGGGGCGAGACUUUGUCAUGUAUGUCGCUGAAGUUCAGCUAUGCAAAAAUGUUCACCUAUCCUUGAUCAACCAGUCCAGGAACCAUCAAAGAAGAAAAUGAGAUUCGACUUAGAAGACCUGUUCUUUAUAAACCCCUGCACAGCCCUAAUGAUCAACACCACUUCCAGUGCUCAUAAAUUACUGCUUCAAUAAUUGUUCUGCAAUUCUGCCUAUUCUCAUUGAAUGCUUCGUAUAAUCCCUUUAUUUACUUUGGGCUACGAUUCAUUUUUAUCAGUGAGUAUUGUACUUGUUUCAUCUCAAAAAUCAUUCUCCUUGAGAAAAAAAAAAAGAACAGAGUUGAGGAAUCCUGCUUUCUCUUUCAUCCACAAAUGCUCUAUUGUCAGAAGGGGGCUUAUAUUUCUUGUGAACUUCUUGUGCUGAUUUUAACUUUGUAAAGUUUUCCUGUUUUCCACGUAUGAAUGAGCAUGAGAACUAUGAAAGGCAAUCAGGUAUAAGAUAUUGUCAAGUAUGUGACUUGAGGGACAAGUGAUCUAUGUGAGCCUGAAGGGAAUCCUGGGAUUGAGAGAGCAUGCAGAGAAGGCACAUAGGUGUGCUAGGGCAUGCAGGUUGUACAGAGAUGGACAGGGAGAAAAUUCGAGUGACAGAGGUUUUCUAUAUGGUGGGAGUAGUGUGGGUUGGCGUCUAUCAGGGGAGACCAACUGACCAUAUCCCUCUGUUCACUUUUAGCCAUGAGUACAAGGCUACAAGAACUCGAGAGGUCAUCUAAGUUAUUUCUGGCUCUUUCAGGUCAAAUGACUACUAGACUAUCCUGGUUUCUAAUUUGAAAUGUAUCCAAAGAAGAUUCCUGUCUCACCCUCUGCAAUCCACUUGCAUGUCUGACCACACUCGGUGCCUACACAAUCUUCACUUUGUCUAGCCUAAAUUCUUCUAACUGUGGCCUAAGGCCUUGGAAGAAUGAUGCCUCUGUGGGGUAAGAACUGCCUUCGUGGCAUAAGAAAGGCAGACCUGGGUGAUCUGGAAGGGCUGUUGCAAGGGGAUAGGAGUGCUGAGGCCUUUUCCAUUAAGAAUACACAGGACUAUGGAGACUCUUGUUUUACUAGAAACUUCUUCACAGAUACCUUAAAUUAGGAAG
rnacentral:lncRNA from 1 species